AACGUAGGUGGCGAGCGUUAUCCGGAUUUACUGGGCGUAAAGCGUGUGCAGGCGGUCGUUCAAGUGGUGUAUGAAAUCGCCCGGCUUAACCGGGCGGGGUUAGGCCAGACUGGACGACUGGAGUGCGGGAGAGGGACGUGGAAUUCCGGGUGUAGUGGUGAAAUGCGUAGAGAUCCGGAGGAACCCCAGCGGCGAAGGCGGCGUCCUGGCCCGCAACUGACGCUCAGACACGACAGCAUGGGGAGCGAACGGG
rnacentral:rRNA from 1 species